GUCUGUCGGUGAUGAGGCUACGGAUCUUGCGUCAGGCAUGGCGCCCGACAUCUAUGAGGAUAUCUUCCAUGCUGCCUUCCUUCUGAGACUGCAC